rnacentral:rRNA from 1 species
AUUGAACGCUGGCGGCAUGCUUUACACAUGCAAGUCGAACGGUAACAGGGUGCUUGCACCGCUGACGAGUGGCGAACGGGUGAGUAAUGCGUCGGAACGUGCCGAGUAGUGGGGGAUAACGCAGCGAAAGUUGUGCUAAUACCGCAUACGUACUGAGGUAGGAAGUGGGGGACCUUCGGGCCUCACGCUAUUCGAGCGGCCGACGUCUGAUUAGCUAGUAGGUGAGGUAAAGGCUCACCUAGGCGACGAUCAGUAGCGGGUCUGAGAGGAUGAUCCGCCACACUGGGACUGAGACACGGCCCAGACUCCUACGGGAGGCAGCAGUGGGGAAUUUUGGACAAUGGGCGAAAGCCUGAUCCAGCCAUGCCGCGUGUCUGAAGAAGGCCUUCGGGUUGUAAAGGACUUUUGUCAGGGAGGAAAUCCCUAGCGUUAAUACCGCUGGGGGAUGACAGUACCUGAAGAAUAAGCACCGGCUAACUACGUGCCAGCCGCCGCGGUAACAC